rnacentral:rRNA from 1 species
UCAAGUUAUUAAGGGUGCAGGGCGGAUGCCUUGGCACUAGGAGCCGAUGAAGGACGUGAUAAGCUGCGAUAAGCUUCGGGGAGUUGCACGUAAACUUUGAUCCGAAGAUUUCCGAAUGAGGAAACUCACUUAGAGUAAUGUCUAAGUAUCAUUAAGUGAAUACAUAGCUUAAUGAGGGGAACUCAGGGAACUGAAACAUCUAAGUACCUGAAGGAAGAGAAAGAAAUUCGAUUCCGUAAGUAGCGGCGAGCGAACGCGGAUUAGCCCAAACCAAUAAAGUUUUCUUUAUUGGGGUUGCGGACAUAUCAUAACGAAGAGGUAUCGUAAUUGAAGAGGUUUGGAAAGACCCACCACAGAAGGUAAUAGUCCUGUAUGUUAAACGAGAAGACUUCAGAUAUGAUCCAGAGUACCACGGGACACGUGAAACCCUGUGGGAAGCAGGAGGGACCACCCUCCAAGGCUAAAUACUACCUAGUGACCGAUAGCGUAUAGUACCGUGAGGGAAAGGUGAAAAGAACCCCGGGAGGGGAGUGAAAUAGAACCUGAAACCCUGCACUUACAAGCUGUGGAAGCACAUUUCUUGUGUGACCGCGUACUUUUUGUAGAACGGGCCAACGAGUUACGUUAAGUAGCAAGGUUAAGCACUUAAGGUGUGGAGCCGUAGCGAAAGCGAGUUUUAACUGAGCGUUCAGUUACUUGACGUAGACCCGAAACCGGGCGACCUACCCAUGAGCAGGAUGAAGCGAAAGUAAAAUUUCGUGGAGGUCCGAACCCACGAGCGUUGAAAAGCUCGGGGAUGACUUGUGGGUAGCGGUGAAAUUCCAAUAGAGCCCGGAGAUAGCUGGUUCUCCCCGAAAUAGCUUUAGGGCUAGCCUCAAGGUGAGAGAUACGGAGGUAGAGCACUGAAUGUCCUAGGGGGUAUUGCACCUACCGAAGACUAUCAAACUCCGAAUGCCGUCAUCUUAUACUUGGGAGUCAGACUGUGGGUGAUAAGAUUCAUAGUCGAAAGGGCAACAGCCCAGAUCGUCAGCUAAGGUCCCUAAAUGUAAGUUAAGUGGUAAAGGAUGUGGGAUUGCACAGACAACCAGGAUGUUGGCUUAGAAGCAGCCACUCAUUCAAAGAGUGCGUAAUAGCUCACUGGUCGAGUGAUCCUGCGCCGAAGAUUUCCGGGGCUAAAACUUACUACCGAAGCUACGGCAUCAGUAAUGAUGGGUAGGGGAGCUUCCCAUACGGGUUGAAGCAUGACCGUAAGGACAUGUGGACAGUAUGGGAGUGAGAAUGUUGGCAUGAGUAGCGAGAUGUGGGUGAGAAUCCCACAGGCCGUAAACCCAAGGUUUCCAGGGGAAGGUUCGUCCGCCCUGGGUUAGUCGGGACCUAAGCUGAGGCCGAAAGGCGUAGGUGAUGGACAACAGGUUGAUAUUCCUGUACUACCGAUAACCGUUUGAGAGAAGGGAUGACACAGUAGGAUAAGCUAAGCACACUGUUGGUUAUGUGUGCCCAAGCAUUGAGGCAGUCAAAGUAGGCAAAUCCGCUUUGAUAAUGCUGGGAUGUGAUGGGGAGCGAAAUUUAGUAGCGAAGUAGCUGAUUUCACACUGUCAAGAAAAGUCUCUAUCGAGGUUAAAGGUACCCGUACCGCAAACCGACACAGGUGGGUGAGGAGAGUAUCCUAAGGCCAGCGAGAGAACUGUUGUUAAGGAACUCGGCAAAAUGACCCCGUAACUUAGGGAUAAGGGGUGCCACCAUCAGGUGGCCGCAGAGAAUAGGCCCAAGCGACUGUUUACCAAAAACAUAGGUUUCUGCUAAGUCGCAAGACGAUGUAUAGGAGCUGACGCCUGCCCGGUGCUGGAAGGUUAAGGGGAUCUGUUAGAGCAAUCGAAGCAGUGAACUUAAGCCCCAGUAAACGGCGGCCGUAACUAUAACGGUCCUAAGGUAGCGAAAUUCCUUGUCGGGUAAGUUCCGACCCGCACGAAAGGCGUAACGAUUUGGGCACUGUCUCAACAACAGACUCGGUGAAAUUGUAAUUCCGGUGAAGAUGCCGGAUACCUGCGACAGGACGGAAAGACCCCAUGGAGCUUUACUGUAGCUUGACAUUGGGUCUUGGUACUACAUGUACAGGAUAGGUGGGAGGCUUUGAAACCAGGACGCCAGUUUUGGCGGAGCCAUCCUUGGGAUACCACCCUUGUAGUACUGGGACUCUAACCAUAGGCCAUGAAUCUGGUCUUGGGACACUGUCAGGUGGGCAGUUUGACUGGGGCGGUCGCCUCCCAAAAGGUAACGGAGGCGCUCAAAGGUUCUCUCAGUACGGUCGGAAAUCGUACGUAGAGUGUAAAGGCAAAAGAGAGCUUGAUUGCAAGACAUACAGGUCGAGCAAGGAUGAAAAUCGGACUUAGUGAUCCGGUGGUUCUGCGUGGAAGGGCCAUCGCUCAACGGAUAAAAGCUACCCUGGGGAUAACAGGCUUAUCUCCCCCAAGAGUCCACAUCGACGGGGAGGUUUGGCACCUCGAUGUCGGCUCAUCACAUCCUGGGGCUGUAGUAGGUCCCAAGGGUUGGGCUGUUCGCCCAUUAAAGUGGUACGCGAGCUGGGUUCAGAACGUCGUGAGACAGUUCGGUCCCUAUCCGUCGCAGGCGUAGGAAAUUUGAGAAGACCUGUCCUUAGUACGAGAGGACCGGGAUGGACGUACCUCUGGUGUACCAGUUGUUCUGCCAAGGGCAUGGCUGGGUAGCUAUGUACGGAAUGGAUAAGCGCUGAAAGCAUCUAAGCGCGAAGCCAACUUCAAGAUAAGAUUUCCCACCGCAAGGGUAAGACCCCAGAAAGACUAUCUGGUUGAUAGGUCGAAGGUGUAAGGGCAGCAAUGUAUUUAGCUUAUCGAUACUAAUAGGUCGAGGACUUGACCAA